CGCGUUAAAAAUGGAACUUCUUUGACAGCUUGUUAUUAGAUAUUUAGGAGCAGAAUUAUUUUUGAAAGAGAGGGAGAAGAAAAUCAGUGGAUUAUGACUCAGUGGGUUUAAGAGUGUCUAAAAGUCACUGUCCUCAGAGAAUAUAUCAGGCACUGCUCCUACACUGCUUUUCCCACCCUCUCCUGUGACUGAUUGCUGCAGAAAAGUCUUCUCUCCCCCUUACUGGCAAUUUUACAUCUUCCACUAUAUUACCCGCUGGAAUGUCUCCUGGAAUUCCACCUGGGAUCCAGAAGUUAAGAGAGUCUUGAUCUUGAUACAAGUGAAACUUAAUUGCCAAAACAAGGCGUCUGCCUUAUCAUCUGCCUGCUUUCCCACUCUUGGGCCUCCUGCCACUGUCCCUUCCCCGCCACAGAAGCCAGGUCCCUCCAUGAGAGGCCCCAGCACAUCUGUGAAACCAUGGUUACUGAAGUUGUUUGCUGGGGGAUGACACCAACCAGGAAGGCACUGAAACUCACUACAUAUAUUCAGAUUGGGUGUACUACUCCAUUGCUUACUUAAACAUCUGUGUGUGAUCUCUCUCCAUUCCUCAAGCAAAAAGAAAAAAGAAAGGCUGGCUGGGCAGUAAGCAAGUACAAGCUGAAACAUCUGUGCGACAGAUAAUCACAUACAGCCACGAGAGUCACUAGUGCUGAUCCAUCUGUAAAGCAUCCCAUGUGCCAGUUACUUGACAUCAGGAAAUUAAACUGUAAGGGAUAUUCAUGAGCCAAAGUAAAUAGUGGCAGCAGGAGAGGAAGCAUUUACAGACAUCAGGUCCAUUGUAUAACUGCAAGAGUCCAAAAAAAGACAUCAAAAACAAUCAAACUUUCUUGGCUGUACCGAAAAAUGGAAGACAAAGCACAAAUAAUCUGGACACUGCAACAACCACUUUAUAGGGCCUUUAGUUGCAGCCACUGUCUUUGUCUCCUUUGUAAUAACAAGCACUUGUAAAGUGGAAUAUUUUAAAUAAAAUAUGUUUACAAAGAGA